GACGAACGCUGGCGGCGUGCCUAAUACAUGCAAGUAGAACGCUGAAGAGAGGAGCUUGCUCUUCUUGGAUGAGUUGCGAACGGGUGAGUAACGCGUAGGUAACCUGCCUUGUAGCGGGGGAUAACUAUUGGAAACGAUAGCUAAUACCGCAUAACAAUGGAUGACACAUGUCAUUUAUUUGAAAGGGGCAAUUGCUCCACUACAAGAUGGACCUGCGUUGUAUUAGCUAGUAGGUGAGGUAACGGCUCACCUAGGCGACGAUACAUAGCCGACCUGAGAGGGUGAUCGGCCACACUGGGACUGAGACACGGCCCAGACUCCUACGGGAGGCAGCAGUAGGGAAUCUUCGGCAAUGGGGCAACCCUGACCGAGCAACGCCGCGUGAGUGAAGAAGGUUGUCGGAUCGUAAAGCUCUGUUGUAAGUCAAGAACGAGUGUGAGAGUGGAAAGUUCACACUGUGACGGUAGCUUACCAGAAAGGGACGGCUAACUACGUG
rnacentral:rRNA from 1 species